rnacentral:tRNA from 1 species
CGCGGAGUGGAGCAGUUGGUAGCUCGUCGGGCUCAUAACCCGAAGGUCGUUGGUUCAAGUCCAGCCUCCGCAA